AUCCAGCUGACUCGUCCCAAAAAGGACGAAGCGCGCGUCCUGGAU
rnacentral:hammerhead_ribozyme from 1 species